rnacentral:rRNA from 1 species
AACGAACGCUGGCGGCAUGCCUAACACAUGCAAGUCGAACGAAGGCUUCGGCCUUAGUGGCGCACGGGUGCGUAACGCGUGGGAAUCUGCCCUUUGGUUCGGAAUAACGGCUGGAAACGGCUGCUAAUACCGGAUGAUGACGAAAGUCCAAAGAUUUAUCGCCAGAGGAUGAGCCCGCGUUGGAUUAGGUAGUUGGUGGGGUAAAGGCCUACCAAGCCGACGAUCCAUAGCUGGUCUGAGAGGAUGAUCAGCCACACUGGAACUGAGACACGGCCCAGACUCCUACGGGAGGCAGCAGUGGGGAAUAUUGGACAAUGGGCGCAAGCCUGAUCCAGCAGUGCCGCGUGAGUGAUGAAGGCCCUAGGGUUGUAAAGCUCUUUUACCCGGGAAGAUAAUGACUGUACCGGGAGAAUAAGCCCCGGCUAACUCCGUG